CUUUGUCUAAAAUUCCUUAGGUAUUUUACAUCUAUUUAAAUUCUAAACCAUUGUUUAAACCAAUACCACAAAACACAUGUUUACUGUGCUUAUGAAUAGGCACUUCUGGUGGACUUAUUCUUCUACAACCAUUGUCCUAGAAUUUUUAGCGAUCUGUCAUUUCAGUUUAGCUGGGGGUGUUUGGUGAUUUAGCUGUCAUGGUUUUAGGAAUCAGCACUACAGUGCAUAAUAUAUUGCCAGGAACAGGAACCCAAUGAUGGCCCGGUACCCACACAUUUCCACGGCUAUAUAAAAAGAAGGCCAACCCAGAUGUUCUAUUGUUUGCUGAGGACUGAGCAGAAGUGAGAAUUUACUGUAAUCAGUCUGGAGCGUUUCUAUGGUGAGGACACUCGACCAUUAAGGUAGGUUCUCAAUCAUAACUUAGCAUUUCACUUUACUGAACUUGUUGUAGUUCAAGAUGUUGAACAACUUUACUAACAUUCAAUAAUGCAUUUAAAUUGAAUUCUAAAAUGUUUACUUGUGUUACUCUUUAAUUCCUUCAAAUAGUAAUAGAUUAGUGGAUGCAGCAAUACCCUCAUUUAAAACUUAAUGAAUUUUAUGCUUGAGACAGUUAAAGGCAAUGUUAGCAAAGGGUUGACAAAUUUAAAUGUAAAUCAACCCCUCCCCCCAAAAAAAAAAAAAGAUCUGUGCCACUACAAACAUGAUUCCAGAAAUGUCUUUUUUAACAAUAUUUGAGGUGGAAAUCAUUUUUAACUGAACCAAGAAGAAGGUACUCUGUUUGUCUCUCGAUGUACACACUACCAGUUUACCAAUAUGGUUCUUUUAGUUUGUUUCAGCAAAUACAGGAAGGACAGCAAUGGCAGUCCUGAGGGCCACCCUUUGCGCUGUCCUCAUGGUGACUCUAGUGACAGCUAAACCAGUCCAUCUGAAAGAACGUGAGGAUUCACCCAAGUCAUCAGAGUCCAGUGAAUCCAGUUCAUCAGAAGAGACCACCACUAAUGAUAGGUCUUCACAGGAAACCCUGCAGUCAAAUACGCCGGAUGCUACAGAGAACCCCCUGGAUGCAGCACCGCUUCCCUCUGCAGAUGCAGGACCUUCUCUGGCCACUUCUCCUGAAGACCCACAAACCUCAGCUGACCCAGAUGCUUUACAACUUGUGCCAGAUCCGUCUCAUACUGCGAUGAGCGUUGAUGUUUCUUUAGAUGUGCCCAAUUCUGGUCCCACAAAGGACUCUGUUAACGCUGUUAACCCUACCCACAUUCUACCAAACACGCAUCCUUCAGGGCUUUCAGAGACUGGUGUAGUCAUAGGUACAAUUCAACCACAAGUCAUUACCACAUACCAAGGAUCCACCCAGGGUGUCACUCCACCCUUUCCUACAUGUGUCAUCCAACCAACACCUACAGCCCCACCACUGAUACUCCCUAUUGGAACAACACUAGAUGGUGGUCCUGUCUGUUUCACUUUCCAGGUCACAACUGCUGAGCCAGAUCCACCUAGAGGAGACAGCAUUUGAUCCCCAACAGAACACAGAAAUUGUUGUUCAUUUAAGUUUGAGUUCAGCCUAGGUGACCAGGACAGACCACACUAUGGCUGUACAUAUACACAACCUUGACUUGAUACUUAUAUAGAUGUCCUAACUACACAUGGCUUUUACUUUGCCCUCAACCUUGGCAAAUGGGGGGGAAAAAUGGUGCUAAUGUAUAUGCUGUAUAUAUACAAUAAACACAUCUAAAGCUGUUGCAAUAACAAAAGUACAGUCACAAUAAAUAAAUUAAUAAACAGCUGAAAA